UGGGUGAUAUUGCACAAUGGGCGAAAGCCUGAUGCAGCGACGCCGCGUGGGGGAUGAAGGCUUUCGGGUUGUAAACCUCUUUCGCUAUCGAACAAGGCCCGCUUAGGGUGGGUUGAGGGUAGGUGGAGAAGAAGCGCCGGCUAACUACGUGCCAGCAGCCGCGGUAAUACGUAGGGCGCGAGCGUUGUCCGGAAUUAUUGGGCGUAAAGGGCUUGUAGGCGGCUUGUUGCGCCUGCUGUGAAAACGCGGGGCUUAACUUCGCGCGUGCAGUGGGUACGGGCAGGCUUGAGUGUGGUAGGGGUGACUGGAAUUCCAGGUGUAGCGGUGGAAUGCGCAGAUAUCUGGAGGAACACCGAUGGCGAAGGCAGGUCACUGGGCCAUUACUGACGCUGAGGAGCGAAAGCAUGGGUAGCGAACAGG
rnacentral:rRNA from 1 species